GAGGCUAGGAUAUCGGUCUUUGGGGAGCCUGGUCUUUUGCUUGGACAAAUGCAAGUGCACUUGGAGAUUAGGCUGAACAUAAAAUGAAAGAAAAAGUCAAAAAGCACAAAGAGCGGGAGGACUGAGAUCUUGUCCUAAAGUGGAGCAAAGGAGUGGAGCAUGAUGGACUGCAGAGAUAGGCUGUAAAACUAAGCUUGACUGCGUAUCCGGGUGUUUUCUUGAGCGCCGCAUUGUUCACUGAAAGUGAAAUGCUGAUUCUAAUUGAGAGAAGCACACAGGAGCAUGUUCAAAUAGCUCAUUUGGAGCCUGUGUCAUCGCUUACGGCCAUACCACCCUGAACACGCCCGAUCUCGUCCGAUCUCGGAAGCUAAGCAGGGUCGGGCCUGGUUAGUACUUGGAUGGGAGACCGCCUGGGAAUACCAGGUGCUGUAAGCUUUUCUCUUCUUUUCUUGCAUCUUUUUGCCGUGUUCUCUCUCCAAGAGGCUAGGAUAUCGGUCUUUGGGGAGCCUGGUCUUUUGCUUGGACAAAUGCAAGUGCACUUGGAGAUUAGGCUGAACAUAAAAUGAAAGAAAAAGUCAAAAAGCACAAAGAGCGGGAGGACUGAGAUCUUGUCCUAAAGUGGAGCAAAGGAGUGGAGCAUGAUGGACUGCAGAGAUAGGCUGUAAAACUAAGCUUGACUGCGUAUCCGGGUGUUUUCUUGAGCGCCGCAUUGUUCACUGAAAGUGAAAUGCUGAUUCUAAUUGAGAGAAGCACACAGGAGCAUGUUCAAAUAGCUCAUUUGGAGCCUGUGUCAUCGCUUACGGCCAUACCACCCUGAACACGCCCGAUCUCGUCCGAUCUCGGAAGCUAAGCAGGGUCGGGCCUGGUUAGUACUUGGAUGGGAGACCGCCUGGGAAUACCAGGUGCUGUAAGCUUUUCUCUUCUUUUCUUGCGUCUUUUUGCCGUGUUCUCUCUCCAAGAGGCUAGGAUAUCGGUCUUUGGGGAGCCUGGUCUUUUGCUUGGACAAAUGCAAGUGCACUUGGAGAUUAGGCUGAACAUAAAAUGAAAGAAAAAGUCAAAAAGCACAAAGAGCGGGAGGACUGAGAUCUUGUCCUAAAGUGGAGCAAAGGAGUGGAGCAUGAUGGACUGCAGAGAUAGGCUGUAAAACUAAGCUUGACUGCGUAUCCGGGUGUUUUCUUGAGCGCCGCAUUGUUCACUGAAAGUGAAAUGCUGAUUCUAAUUGAGAGAAGCACACAGGAGCAUGUUCAAAUAGCUCAUUUGGAGCCUGUGUCAUCGCUUACGGCCAUACCACCCUGAACACGCCCGAUCUCGUCCGAUCUCGGAAGCUAAGCAGGGUCGGGCCUGGUUAGUACUUGGAUGGGAGACCGCCUGGGAAUACCAGGUGCUGUAAGCUUUUCUUGCAUCUUUUUGCCGUGUUCUCUCUCCAAGAGGCUAGGAUAUCGGUCUUUGGGGAGCCUGGUCUUUUG